AGGAGACUAAAGGUGUUCCGGUGGGACAACAGAUGUGACAAAGUAUUCUUAAACGGCAUUUGAUCAGCAUCUUCGAUUGGGUGUCUACUUAUAACAAGUCAGAUCUCCCCCACCAUCAACCACUGUUCCCAUUGUAACCCAAGGGAGGGUCCUGGGUGCCACGGCCCCCACCGUAAAGGUCAUCCUGCAGGGGUUAAAGGCCUUGGAGAAAGUGGUAGCAGAGGAGGUACCAGGUUGGAUGGGUGAGGAGUUAUUGUUGCCGCUGUUCCCAUGAGGGGUGUGCCCGUGGCCGUGCAGUCCAUGACCAAGCUCCUCUGUGUCCCAGCGGUCCGUACAGCGGCGGCGUGAGUUCAUGAAGAAGUUGGAGACAGUAGAAAGCUCUAGGCCCAGCUGCUGCGAGAUGGUGAUCUGCAUCUCCUUGGAGGGCCGGCGGUUCUCUCUGAAGAUUGCUACCAAGGAGGGUAUGCAGACUACAAGAGAGAGUAGCAUGAAGAGUCUACACUGACUACAGGACAGUGGAUGGAGCAGGACACCAGGGGAGAGAGUGGGGAGUGACAUGCAGGAAAGGGGCUGAAUGUCGAAAUCGAACCCAGGCUGCCUGCUUGAGGACUUAGUCUCUGUACAAAGGACACACAACUUAACACUAGGUCUGGCACACAACUGUUAAAGCUUACUUAUUGGUAAUGGUUUGGUACUUGUUUUCCCCCUCUCCUACACACCUGAAAAAGUUGUACUCAGUAUUAAUAUAUAUUUUUAAGAAAAUGUGCAUCAUUUGAAUACACAAAGAACUCCAGGUAAACUGUUGCAACAGAGGUCAAAAAGGUUGAUUUAGUUAGGUUAGGUUUAUUUUGGUCUGCAUCAACAACCAACACUUCCCUCAGCAACAUAGGAGAAAUGUAAAAAUCACAAAUAAAAACAAAACAAAACAAUCACUGAGGGAUUAAUCAACCAAGAAAAUAUAUAGAGAGAUAUACAUACACACACAUAUCAAUAUGCACAUGCAUACGUACACAUACACAUGCAUACAUAUACCUUCAGGCAUACACAUCCACAUAUAUUUUAGUUAAUCACAUGCUGACCAAAAAAAGGUGUAGGCUGAAGCCAAGGUUUAUCCUGCCUACCCUUUGAGAUAACUUACAGUCAUCCGCAACAUUGUGCAAGUAAUUCGGUUAUUUUAUAACAAAGCAAUCUAGAUUCAGAAACAAGAAACAAAAACCCAAAAUAUUGCAAUCACAACAAGCAAUUCAAGUAAAUCUUAGUGAAAUCUAAUUUUAAUUAAUACUUUAUACGUUUAUACUUCAUCCAUAUAUUUAUUCAUCUGUUUAUUUUUGAGCAUUUUUUAAAAUACAUAAAGGGAGUUACACAUUUUAAUUUUAAAAAUGUGUUUACAUCUUAUCUUAUUUUCAUCCGUAUGGUUUAGUUUUGUGCAGUCUAUUAGAUGUGUAUUGAAUGAAGUGAACACAGCUGUAUGUGGCACUUUGGCCUGAGGCAAAUUCCUCCUUUGAUCAAUAGAAUAUAUUUCAUCUUAUCUUGUAUUUAAAGCAGGACUUGAAAACGCAACAUAUUAUUCUCAUUUUGUAUAAAAUCUAUCAAUAACCAGGUAUUAAACCCUCUUUAAAUGCUACACAGGACAGUUCUUUAAUGAUAAAGAACAUGACAUUAACAUUUAGUAGCCUCAUUGUUGUUUCGGAUGGAUUUCUCAUUUCAAAGGUUUCAAAUCCUUACAAGUUGAUUUUCAAAGUGAGGUGAAAUUAAGUGAAACCAGUGGUCACCUGGAGGAUAGGCAAUCAAUCUAAAAACUUAGAGAGGGCUUAAAAUGCGGUCAUCAGUAAUGUAAAGUGGGCUGUACACUUUAUGGAUGUGCUACACCAUUCAAACUCCCCAGUGUGUUAAUUUAAUGUUAUCACAUAGGCACAAUAUUGUAUUGUUAGUCUGUGUGAAUAAUUAGAUUUAAUCCUUUCAUUAGGCAUUGUCAUACAACUCUCUUAAGUGUUGAGGUGGUUUUGGUGAAUAAAUAGUUUUCUCUGUUUGUCUGGUUGAAACUGGAGGAGCGUGAUGUGAAAUGCUGACAAAGAAGCGCACUCUCGUGCCUGGCUGCACCGUCAGUAGGCUCUGGGCUCGCGCUGUGGAGACUGGAGGGAGUCUGUUCUGUUCUGCUGCCCUAAAAAGCUGCAAUGAUCGAUUUUCCGCGGUUUUCUCCCGAACACGUGGUCCAGUAAUCAGGGCUCCCUUCCCCACCCGAUCGAUCCCCAUCGAUCCGCGAGACCGAGGCGUGUGUGUGUGUGUGUGUGUGUGUGUGUGUGCGUGUGUGUGCGCGCGCGUGCGUGUGUUUGUGCCAUGAGCGCGUGCACCGCCUCACAUCGGGGAGUUGAAGAUCGCGAGCGCGCUUUUGUGACAGACAGAUGGAGAAGAAAUUGUUUAUCUUUAGAAGAACAAAGGAGAUGUGGCGGAAAAGAGUGGCAGUCAUCCAGUUUUAGAGCUCAGACGAGGACACAGGAGUGUUUCCUAAUAUGUCAGAUUUAAAAAAGAAAUAGUAUGGCGUGCUUGAAAAGAAAAGUGGCAACAUUGGAAAAGGAUGAAAGGGAAGGUGGGAAAGAAAGAAUAAAGGUAUUUGCAGUGUUGGAGGCGUUGUAUGUAUGCAAAUGAUUGAUGAUUGUACAGCAGGUUUAGACAACAGAGGUAAACAGAUUUGACUGUGAGGGGGGAUCAAUAUGAAUGUGCACAUGUGUAUGCAUGCCUGUGUGUGAGUGUGCAUCUGCCUGCAUUGCCAUUGUUCAUGCUUUGAUCCUGCAAGCAAAGCAUAAUUAAUAAAGCAGAUAUUUUUCCUCAGCAGCAGAAA